GAUGAAGAACGUAGCGAAAUGCGAUAAGUAGUGUGAAUUGAAGAAUUCAGUGAAUCAUCGAAUCUUUGAACGCACAUUGCGCCCUUUGGUAUUCCUUAGGGCAUGCCUGUUCGAGCGUCAUUUACAAAUUCAAGCUCAGCUUGGUGAUGGGCGUCUGUCCCGCCUUUGCGCGUGGACUCGCCUCAAAUGCAGUUGGCAGCUUGUUCCUCGGCUCUAAACGCAGCAGAUUUGCGUCGAGCGUCGGGCGGACGGGCUCUCCAGUAAGCAAACCCCACAAAUUGACCUCGGAUCAGGUAGGGAUACCCGCUGAACUUAAGCAUAUCAAUAAGCGGAGGA
rnacentral:misc_RNA from 1 species